ensembl:misc_RNA Metazoa_SRP Metazoan signal recognition particle RNA
AACGGGAGUGGCAACGCAGGCCUGUAAUCCCAACUAUUUGGGGGAUUGAGGCAGGAGGAGAAUUGCUUGAGUCCAGGAAUUCUGGCCUGUAAUGCUGCAUGCUGAUCUAAUGUCUGUGCUAAAUUUGACAUUAAUAUACCACCAGGUUGCCUAAGAAGGAGUGAAGGCUCAGAUUGAAAGCAGUGCAAGUCAAAACUCUCAUAAUGAUCUAUAGUGGUAUUGUUCCUGUGAAGAGCCACUGCACUUCAGCCUGGGCAACAUAGUGAGACCCCAUCUUA